rnacentral:antisense_RNA from 1 species
CUUGAGCGAGCCGAGCCACAACGGGUUCCCGGCACGCCCCUGGCCGUAGGUCGCGAGCAGUGCCUGGGCCUC